rnacentral:rRNA from 1 species
AGAGAGAGACAUGCGCGCAUAUCAAUAAGCGGAGGAAAAGAAACUAACUAGGAUUCCCUCAGUAACGGCGAGUGAAGCGGGAAGAGCUCAAAUUUGAAAUCUUCAAGGUUCUACCUUGACGAAUUGUAGUUUAAAGAAGUGUUUUCUGUUGGAGUUUUGGUAAAAGUUCUUUGGAGUAGGACAUCAUAGAGGGUGAGAAUCCCGUAUUUGACCAUUUACUUUCAAGCUUUGUGAUACACUUUCAAAGAGUCGGAUUGUUUGGGAAUGCAGUCCAAAAUGGGUGGUAAAUUUCAUCUAAAGCUAAAUAUUGGCGAGAGACCGAUAGCGAACAAGUACCGUGAGGGAAAGAUGAAAAGAACUUUGAAAAGAGAGUUAAACAGUACGUGAAAUUGUCAAAAGGGAAGCGUUUGACACCAGUGUUGUUUUUCUCGAAAAUCAAUUAAAGAACUGUUUAUGCUAAGCUGUUUAGACUUUAUCAGCUAUCUGUUUAGUUUUGAGCUUUUCUUUAAUGCACUUUUCAGUUAACAAGUCUACAUCAAUUUCUUUUGCUGUAAAAAAGCUUGAGGAAGGUGGCUUGAGAUUCGUCUUAAGUGUUUAUAGCCUCUUGCCUAUGCAGUCGGAGAGAUUGAGGUCUGCAGCGUAGAUCCUUCGGGGCUAAAUGCAUUUGUGCUAAGUUAUAGCAUUUUAUAGACAACUUGUUGACUAUGAUUUGUCUUGUAGCUUACUCGCUUAUGUUAUUUUACCUACGCUUAGGAUGUUGAUGUGAUACUGCGAGCA